rnacentral:rRNA from 1 species
GAUGAACGCUGGCGGCGUGCCUAAUACAUGCAAGUCGAGCGAACAGACGAGGAGCUUGCUCCUCUGACGUUAGCGGCGGACGGGUGAGUGACACGUGGAUAACCUACCUAUAAGACUGGGAUAACUUCGGGAAACCGGAGCUAAUACCGGAUAAUAUAUUGAACCGCAUGGUUCAAUAGUGAAAGACGGUUUUGCUGUCACUUAUAGAUGGAUCCGCGCCGCAUUAGCUAGUUGGUAAGGUAACGGCUUACCAAGGCAACGAUGCGUAGCCGACCUGAGAGGAUGAUCGGCCACACUGGAACUGAGACACGGUCCAGACUCCUACGGGAGGCAGCAGUAGGGAAUCUUCCGCAAUGGGCGAAAGCUUGACGGAGCAACGCCGCGUGAGUGAUGAAGGUCUUCGGAUCGUAAAACUCUGUUAUUAGGGAAGAACAAAUGUGUAAGUAACUAUGCACGUCUUGACGGUACCUAAUCAGAAAGCCACGGCUAACUACGUG